GAUCCUGGCUCAGGAUGAACGCUGGCGGCGUGCUUAACACAUGCAAGUCGAACGAAGCACUUUAAUUGAUUUCUUCGGAAUGAAGUUUUUGUGACUGAGUGGCGGACGGGUGAGUAACGCGUGGGUAACCUGCCUCAUACAGGGGGGAUAACAGUUGGAAACGACUGCUAAUACCGCAUAAGCGCACAGGAUUGCAUGAUCUGGUGUGAAAAACUCCGGUGGUAUAAGGUGGACCCGCGU
rnacentral:rRNA from 1 species